rnacentral:rRNA from 1 species
AAUCCAUAGGUUAAUGAGGCGAACCGGGGGAACUGAAACAUCUAAGUACCCCGAGGAAAAGAAAUCAACCGAGAUUCCCCCAGUAGCGGCGAGCGAACGGGGAGGAGCCCAGAGCCUGAAUCAGCAUGUGUGUUAGUGGAAGCGUCUGGAAAGGCGCGCGAUACAGGGUGACAGCCCCGUACACAAAAGCGCAUGUGCUGUGAGCUCGAUGAGUAGGGCGGGACACGUGGUAUCCUGUCUGAAUAUGGGGGGACCAUCCUCCAAGGCUAAAUACUCCUGACUGACCGAUAGUGAACCAGUACCGUGAGGGAAAGGCGAAAAGAACCCCGGCGAGGGGAGUGAAAAAGAACCUGAAACCGUGUACGUACAAGCAGUGGGAGCACCCUUUGGGGUGUGACUGCGUACCUUUUGUAUAAUGGGUCAGCGACUUAUAUUCUGUAGCAAGGUUAACCGUAUAGGGGAGCCGGAGGGAAACCGAGUCUUAAUUGGGCGUUAAGUUGCAGGGUAUAGACCCGAAACCCGGUGAUCUAGCCAUGGGCAGGUUGAAGGUUGGGUAACACUAACUGGAGGACCGAACCGACUAAUGUUGAAAAAUUAGCGGAUGACCUGUGGCUGGGGGUGAAAGGCCAAUCAAACCGGGAGAUAGCUGGUUCUCCCCGAAAGCUAUUUAGGUAGCGCCUCGUGAAUUCAUCUCCGGGGGUAGAGCACUGUUUCGGCUAGGGGGCCAUCCCGGCUUACCAACCCGAUGCAAACUGCGAAUACCGGAGAAUGUUAUCACGGGAGACACACGGCGGGUGCUAACGUCCGUCGUGAAGAGGGAAACAACCCAGACCGCCAGCUAAGGUCCCAAAGUCAUGGUUAAGUGGGAAACGAUGUGGGAAGGCCCAGACAGCCAGGAUGUUGGCUUAGAAGCAGCCAUCAUUUAAAGAAAGCGUAAUAGCUCACUGGUCGAGUCGGCCUGCGCGGAAGAUGUAACGGGGCUAAACCAUGCACCGAAGCUGCGGCAGCGAACGUAUCACCCAAGACAACUUUACGGAGUUGACGAUUGACGGAGCGAAGCGACGUCAAAGCGUUCAUUAAAGUCGAG